AGCUGCCGGAAUUUGAGCCCGAGGACGAGGAAGAAAAAUCUCCGGCGAGGAACAAGUACGGAGUUAAGCCGCGGAAAAAGAAUGAUGUCACGGUUGUGGUACAGAAACGAAAAGGCUUCCGCUUCCUCGCAGUGUUGAUGCGCAU
rnacentral:ribozyme from 1 species